GUCUUACUGUUAGAUACUGUACUUCAACCAGUUUUACUUUUAGGUCUUACUGUUAGAUACUGUACUUCAACCAGUUUUACUUUUAGGUCUUACUGCAACCAGUUUUACUUUUAUGUCUUACUGCAACCAGUUUUACUUUUAGGUCUUACUUUUAGGUCUUACUGCAACCAGUUUUACUUUUAGGUCUUACUGUUCGAAAUUUCUUACUUAGAUCUGUGACCCAGUGACCCAACACUAACAUAGAUACUUUUGUAAUUAGACUUUCUCUAUGUUAGAUUAUAUGGAUGGUUAUUCCAGAUACCAUUCAAUCCCGUUUGAUUUAAGAAUCAAGCCCUUUCCCACUCUAUUUUGACUAAUGCAAAGUCCAUUUUUUAAGCGAUUUAAUAUAUAUAUAUUUUUUUACUUAACCCCCAAACAAAUGAAUAAAGAUUACUGACCUUUUCUUUGCAGCUGAGGUAUAAUUUUGGUUAGGUCUCGUCACCGUUUACUGUCGUUUUCCAGUUCACCACCGGCCUGAAAUGAACCCUCGAUUAUUAGAGGGCAGGACUUUGUUUUUUACGGAUGAUUCAUCCGCCCGUGCACGGUUUUCAGUGUCCCCUGGAACGACAGUCAACAAGUAUAUGAGAUCUGCUCGAAGGACCAAUUGUUAAGGGAAUUUUCAAAUCCCAAUGAUAAUAAUUAACAAUCAAUAAGCCUUGACUAAUCCCCAAGGUUUGUAAGACACUGGGUUAAUAAUAAUUAGGCAAGGACUCAGCUUUCUGCGAAAGAUCUGUAGUUUAUUCAGAGAA
rnacentral:lncRNA from 1 species